GUCUUAAUAAUAAAAAUUAUUAUUCAUAUGAAGAAAUGUAAUUUUUCAAAAUUAUUAAUUUUUUCACGAUAAUUGUUAUUUUUACUCACGAAAAUUUGUAAAAUUAUAGAAAUGAUGAAAAGUAAUGCUUCAAAAACAUUACUUUUCCUUUUGUCAAUAAUUACUUUUUGUCAUAAUAAUAAUUAUUUGAAAUAAUGUAAAAAUAAAAAAUAUAAACAAAACCAAAUAAAAAAUUAUUGUAAAAAAAUCAGAAAAAAGAAAAAAAAUGCAUAAAAAAAAACGCAAGAAAAAAGAGGAAAAAAAGAAAAAGGGAUAAAAGAGGUCAAAAUGCAAGAAACGGAUGCAAUGGGAAAUGCAAGAAAAAAGAGGAAAAAAAGAAAAAAGGAAUAAAAGAGGUCAAAAUGCAAGAAACGGAUGCAAUGGGUUUUGAAACCGUAAAACCUUGGAGCUAAAGCAAAUGAAGUGCAAGCAAUUACCACUACACCAAGGCA
rnacentral:lncRNA from 1 species